rnacentral:lncRNA from 1 species
CACACCCUGUGCAGUUCUUUCCCACACCCACUGUGGUCUGUGCCUGGAGCUGCUUUGACCAAUAGUGUGGUGGAAAUGACGCUGGAAGAUUCCAGGCCUUGCCCUUAAAUAACCUGCAGCUUCUGCUUCUUCCCUCAUGAAAAUCUGGCUGUUGGGGAGUCCUGAGCAGCCAUGUGAGAUAUUCAGCUACCCUGCAGGAAAGACCACGUGGAGAAGAGAGGCCCAGAGGCUACGCUGAGAGGGAACCAACUCCCCAGUCCCAGUGCCAGUUCCAGAUGACUCCAGCCCAGCCACCUCCACCUGCACCUGGAUGAGAGCCUGCCAAGCAGCAACCAGCAAAAGAACUGUCCGGCUGAGCCCAGGCAAGCCACAAAGGCAGCCACAGCUACUGCUCCAGCCUCUCCUGUGAGACAGCUGGGCGCAGCCUGCUGAGUCAAAAGUAUCUCAGCCAAAGGUACAGAUACUGGAUUUGCUGGUCAGCUCAGGACGCCUGACCUGAGAGAAAGCAGGGCCGCCAGUGCACCCUGGGAAAUUCCAAUCACCAUGGCUGGGGGCCACAGCAAAGGGCAAUCAGCAGUGUGAAGACACUAAUGAUGUAAUUAAAAGGUGUAAAUGUAAGAAGCCAGUACAUUGCAAUAUCUGGUAGCAUCUCCAACUCGACCUGUCCCUAACUGAGCUCCAGGUCUUUCUGUCCAACCUGCCCCUCCUCCAGUCGGCUGUCUCACACCCAAUCCAUGGGAAAUCCUGCUGGCUCUACCUUGUAAACAAAUCUACUGGUUAUUCAUUACUAAGAGGAAAAGGAAAGGUUCUUGACAUGGUUACACCUUAACCAAGCGAUCCAAAUCACCAUCACAAAUGACAGAACAAAUAGACCUCAGGAGUCCCCUGAAGGGAUGUCCUUAGGAGGCACCUCGAGUCUGUGGUGUUCCCGCCAAACAUGUUCAACAUGAAUCCAAUCGGGGAAGCAAUCAGGAGACUCCAGACAUCGGGACACACUAUCAAUCAGAGGACUGGCUCCAAUGUCAAUGUCAAAAAACAAGGGCAGGGAUACUAUUCUAGAGCAGGGUCAGAAAACUCUUCCUGUAAAGGGGCAGAGAGUAAAUAUUUUAGAUUUUGAGGCCAGGCGUGGUGGCUCACGCCUGUAAUCCUGAAACUGCCUUUGCAAAAUUAUGACUGACACAGCAAAAGAGAUCUAACUUGACUGACUCCAUCUUACUUCCAACCUCCAAGCUGUCCUUGUUCAUUCCUGAGUGAAGGCUGAACUAACUUUGGGAGAAACUUAGUUUAUAGUUUAAACAAACAUGGUAACAGCCCUUUCCCAAAGCAGACCUCCUUCUUGCCUGGUGACUAGAUUGCCUUUGUAGGACUAACAUUAGCCACAAGAUUAGAAAUUAUGGUUUAGGAGUCAUG